UUAUUGCAACUUUCACAAUUUUGUCAUUUUUAGUAAGUUUUUUGAAAAUAAAAUUACAUAAAUACCCUUACUUAGAAUUUAAUGACCCCAAUUAGAUUUUAAACGGUAAACUAAUUAAAUUACUAAUCUAACAUUAUUUAUCUAACAAUUCCCGCCAAAUUUAAUUCUUUAUUCCAAUUCCCAACUAACUCAUUAAUUCAUCAGCCUUCAAUUGCUAUUUCCAUAAAUUAAACCUUAACUCUACUUGUUCUUCAUCUUCCUUGUUUCUCUCUCUUCAAAAACGAGCAGAUUUGAGCAGAUCUCCAUUAAGCACCCCUCACUUCUCACUCGGUUCAUCUAUUAUCUCACUCACUCUCUAUCUCUUUGUCCUUGUUAAUCCAUUUCUCUGUUUCACAAAAAUUGAGUAGAUCUGCGUUUUUUGAGUCCCACAAAAAUGGUAGAUUUCGAGCAUCUUGCCCACGCUAUUUUCGCAAGUGAGGACGAAAAGAAAAAUCCAGUUUCUUGAUGAUAUAUACGAUGCGCUUGAAGAUGGGUUUUUGUGGCCUAGAAGAUUCUACAAUUCUGGGGAGUUGGGUGAUGUUUUGAGCGAAAAUUCUUUCAUCGCUCUGGGUAAAGUUCUCAGAUCUAUUGAUGCUGAAGAAGAGGAGAAGAAAAAAAAGAGGGUUUUGGAAGAUACGAAACCCACGAGCAGUGAAGGGCGAAAAAGCGAAGAUCUUUUGUUAUCUUGCCCUUAACUCCAAGAAUGUCCUGCCAAACAAUCAUGAAGUUGCGAGGGAAGGGGGCAAAAAUUGUUACUGUAGACGAUGAGGGGGAAAACGACCUUCCUGCUGCUUUGAAUGUGGGAAAAACCGACCCUGCUGCAUCUUUAAAUGAGGGGAAAAUUGACCCUCCUCCGGAAGCUUCAAGUUAGGUGAUUUCUAGCGAGUGUGGCCGAGUUUAGGCAUUUUUCAAGAGGGUUGAAAUAAAGAGGAAGUAACAGGUACUUGAAGCAUGAAGAGCAUGAUGGGAUAGAGUGCAUAGAGUUACUUGUUAUGUUUCUUAAUUUGAUAUAUUAGAAUUAUUCGUUUGUUUAUGGGCUAACGUUAUUGUGUUUGUUUUUAAUUGGUUUUUAAGAAUGACCAUGUUUGAAUUGGUUCCAACUUGUGUAGGUUUAUUCUACUUUUGUUUUGAGGUUUUUAAGAAGGGCCAUGUUUGAAUUGGUUCCAACUUGUGUAGAUUUAUUCUACUUUUGUUUUGAGGUUGUGAACUCAAUUUUUAUUUCUGAAAGUUGGUUUUUAUUUUUAGACUUCCGCUGUGUGACUUUGAAAAUCAGCCUUGAUUAGGGAAUUUUCCCCGCCUAAUCAUAGUUUGACACGUGGACCAAUCAGGCCCUGUCAUGUGUCCGUCACAUGGACCACUUAGAGCCUGACACGUGUCACAUAUUGAUCAGUCCAGCUUGGACA